rnacentral:rRNA from 1 species
AACCUGGUUGAUCCUGCCAGUAGUCAUAUGCUUGUCUCAAAGACUAAGCCAUGCAUGUCUAAGUAUAAAUGCUAUACAAUGAAACUGCGAAUGGCUCAUUAAAACAGUUAUAGUUUAUAUGGUAAUCGAAUUUACAUGGAUAACCGUGGUAAUUCUAGAGCUAAUACAUGCUGUUAAGCCCAACUUAUGGAAGGGCCGUAUUUAUUAGAUAACAGACCAAUAUUCUUCGUGUCUAUUGUGGUGAAUCAUAGUAACUAAUCGGAUCGUAUGGGCUAGUCCCUCGACAAACCAUUCAAGUUUCUGCCCCAUCAGCUUUCGAUGGUAGUGUAUUGGACUACCAUGGCUUUCACGGGUAACGGAGGAUUAGGGUUCGAUUCCGGAGAGGGAGCCUGAGAAACGGCUACCACAUCUAAGGAAGGCAGCAGGCGCGUAAAUUACCCAAUUCUGACUCAGGGAGGUAGUGCCAAGAAAUAACGGACCGAGGCCUUCGGGCUUCGGGAUGGAAUGAGCCGAAUCUACACCCCUUAGCGAAGAUCGAUUGGAGGGCAAGUCUGGUGCCAGCAG